GGGCGGCCCCGGCGGCGGGAGCGGAGCUCUGAGGGGCCCGCGGGGAGCCGGGGCUGCUCCUGCUCCGUCCGCUUGGAACCCGCCAGCUCCUCGGCUUCAGCAUCCCUCACCGCUCUGCCGUCCUGCCCAGCCACAGAACGAGUCCUUACCUGCUGUGCAGGAAUGCUGCGGGAUACAUAAAUAUACAAGCACCUACAUCCAUCAAGCUGUGAAAAGGAUGACCCAAGAGCUGGCAGAGUGGCAGGAAGGCCUCAGGACCAGGCUCACUCCUCAUGGAGUUAAAAAAUAGAUGAGAAUUCUGAAGGAGAGGCUUUUGCAAGAUAGUGUGAUGGUACAGAAAAGUUAAGGAUGACCGUGUGUGUCUUGGAAAAGACAGCAUUAAUCAAGAACCCUAGACUUCUUUUGUUGUCCAUAAGUGUUGUUGCUCAGGGGGUUUUACUCACAUCACCCAAAUGGUCAUCCCAUUUAUAAUACCUGAAGUCAUCUAGAAACCAGCCCUCCUCCUGGCACAGUUUGAUCUGUGCUUAUUUGCUGUAUGUUCCAUUCCAUUUAUUCUGUUCCUCCCAGUCUACUCUUUCACUUUCUGAUUCCCAUGUUUGCAACAUCUCCUCAAUUUGCCAUUUCUGUUGCAGGUAACAAUCACCAGCAGCACAAUAUGUCGCAUUAGUGUGACCUCCAAGAAAGAUUACAGACCCCAUAGUCCAGAGACUUCCACAUAAGAACGUCACAGCCAAAAAAGGCAUAAUCUGAGACUUUUUAAUGAGCACUUAGCAGGGAAUUCCUUUCUGUAUCUUAGAGGACUGAGGCAGAAAAAUGGAUACAGAAAUGGAUGUGAAUACCUCGUUCUUCUGCAGAGCUUUCCUUGUUUUGCAUGUUGCAUUUCUAACAUGCAAAACAAUGAAAUCUUCCCAACUGUAUUAGGGAGAAAGGAUCAGCUCUUACUUUCUCUAGAAAGGUGGGCAGGAUUUUCUGAAAUCCUAAAGAAGCAAAAUUCACUCCAAUCAUUGUUACAUGCUGCCAUUAAGGGUUGAAAUGCAGCAUUUGCCAAGAGUGCAAGUUCCUUUAUUUGAUCCCUUUGACUGUACCAGUAUAACUGCCAAUCACAGGAAAUACCUCUAAUAACUCUUCCUUUUACUUAAUAAGGAAUACCACAUCUUUAAAACAUUAGAAACAGAUGUCACUGCAUUACUUCACUGCUGAUGUAUGUAAUAGAAAUGACACACUAAUUAAUUUAAUGCAGUAUAAAUGUACUGAUUAUUUAUCAUGGCUGACAAUAAAAUUAUGAAAACAUUCAAUUACAA